rnacentral:tRNA from 1 species
GCCGAUGUGGCGGAACUGGUAGACGCGCACGACUCAAAAUCGUGUGAUGGCAACAUCAUGUGGGUUCAAUUCCCACCUUCGGCA